GCAGAUGAGACACAGAAAACUCAGCAGCUAAGAAAGGCAGUGUUUGGGGAAAAAAUGAAAUUUGAAAAUUCCUUUAGUGGUAGCUGUCAUGGAGUGUUUUCAAUAUGGAGUCCUGCUUAGUACCUCCUGUCAAAUGACACACCCUGUCCUGGGGCUGGUGCCAAUAGAAACAUAGAUUACAAGAUUCAAGCAGAUUGUUUCAUCCACGUUCACCCAAUAAAUGUAAUUAGUAAGCACCCUCUCAGCUCCAGACUAACAGAGAUUGUACCCUGGAGCUCCAAGGAAACAAGGUAAGAACCAGCACGCAGUGGGAGGGCUGAUCACAGCAGAUGAUCCCAGUAUGAUCAGGUCGUGGUUGAUUUUCUGCGGAUGAGCCUCAUGGCUCUGUUACCCAGCGAGGAGAAGAAACACUUUUCACCUGGGCUCUUGUCUCAGUGUAUUCUGAGCCAAAUCAAUACAGCACAUCCUACCACCAGUGAGGAUCUCAGGUUUUUCUCAUUCUGGUACCCUUUCCUAUGAGGCCGUCUGACCCAGUAGGUUCAAGUAGAAACCCCAAAACCUCCAGAGGAAAGGCUGGAAGGUGAUAGCAUCCUGGAGCCUGGCUAUUCCACGUGGGUCCACUGACCAACGGCAGCAGCACUGCCUGGGAGCUCGUUAGAAAUGCAGACCCGCAGCUCCAUCCCAGAACUUCUAAAGCAGAAUCUGCGCUUUAACAAGAUCCCCAAGUGAUUCCUAUGCACAGUGAAGUUCUGAGAAGCACUGACUUAGGGGCGUUUAUAUGUGUGGGAACCAAAGUGCUAACCUUCCUACCUGCUAAAGGCUGAAUGUCUGUGUCUCCCCAAAUUCGUAUGUUGAAAUCUAAGCCCCAGUGUGAUGGUAUUAGGAGGUGGGGCCUUUGGGAGGUGAUUAAGUCAUGAGGACUGAGCCUUCAUGGAUGGGAUUUGUGCCCUUGUAAAAGGAACCCCAGAGAGCUUCCCCAGCCCCUUCUACCCUGUGAGGACACAGGGAGAUGAUGGCCAUCUAGGAAUCAGGAAGACACCUCACCAGACACUGAACCUGCAGGUGCUUUCAUCUUGGACCUCCUA
rnacentral:lncRNA from 10 species